AACGCUGGCGGCGUGCCUCAGACAUGCAAGUCGAACGAUUAAGACUCCCUUCGGGGAGUGUAUAAAGUGGCGCACGGGUGAGUAACACGUAAGUAAUCUACCUUCGAGUGGGGAAUAACGUUCGGAAACGGACGCUAAUACCGCAUAACGCAGCGGCAUCGCAAGAUGACAGUUGUUAAAGGAGCAAUCCGCUUGAAGAGGAGCUUGCGGCAGAUUAGCUUGUUGGUAAGGUAACGGCUUACCAAGGCUACGAUCUGUAUCCGGCCUGAGAGGGCGGUCGGACACACUGACACUGAAUAACGGGUCAGACUCCUACGGGAGGCAGCAGUCGGGAAUUUUGGGCAAUGGGCGAAAGCCUGACCCAGCAACGCCGCGUGAGGGAUGAAGUAUUUCGGUAUGUAAACCUCGAAAGAAUAGGAAGAAUAAAUGACGGUACUAUUUAUAAGCUCCGGCUAACUA
rnacentral:rRNA from 1 species